AGGUGCAGUGGCCGUGCAAGGCUCCCCAUUAGACAUGAAGAGACCACCUUCCUUUCCUUUGAUGAUGGGUGACGUGCGGGAGUCUUGGAAGACGUGUGUCCUGGGUGUGCACCCUGCCUGUGGAUCCCGCAGGAAGGUGGAGUGGCCGUGUAGACUCGCCAUCAGCAAUGAAGACAUGACCUUCCUUUCCUUUGUUGAUGGGUGGCGUGUGGGAGUCCUAGAAGCUGAGUGUCCCUGGGUGUGCACCCUGCCUGUGGAUCCCUGAGGAAGGUGUAGUGGCCGUGUAGACUCUGUAUCAGCCAUGAAGAGAAGACCAUGCUUUCCUUUGAUGAUGGGCAGAAUGUGAGAGUCCUGGCAGCCAUGUGUCCUGGGUGUGCACCCUGCCUGUGGAUCCCGCAGGAAGG